rnacentral:precursor_RNA from 1 species
UUAAGUAGGUUUUUGGGGUUUGUUCUUUUCUAUCAAACCUUUAAUUCCUGCUUAUAG